CCGGGUGAGUAACACGUGACUAACCUACCCUCGAGUGGGGAAUAACCACGGGAAACCGUGGCUAAUACCGCAUAACAUCAUCGGAACGCAGGUUCUGGUGCUCAAAGGAGCAAUUCGCUUGAGGAGGGAGUCGCGGCUGAUUAGCUAGUUGGCGGGGUAAUGGCCCACCAAGGCUUAGAUCGGUAGCCGGCCUGAGAGGGCGCACGGCCACACUGGAACUGAAGCACGGUCCAG
rnacentral:rRNA from 1 species